AGCACCUGACUUUUAAUCAGGGUGUCCUGCGUUCGAGUCGCAGAUGGGUCA
rnacentral:tRNA from 1 species